UGAAGUUGGCGAAUCUUGAAAUAUUUUUUGAUAGAUAUAAAAAACACAAUCUGAAUUACAUUUGGCACCACAGUUCAAUAGAUACUAUUAGAAGUUUAUGUAUCAUGGCAAAACAAGUAGACAUUAAACAAAAUAUAAAGUACAUCCACGAAAUCAUGUACGAUGUAUUGAGUUUGAGUAGUCAUUCCACAUUUGUGUAGCAAUUUGAUCACUGACUUGUCUCAUUUGAGCUAUUUGACUUGCAUCAAAAUGUAUGACUUCUUAAUCUUGACUUGAUUCUAGUAUGUCUUGAAACACCAUAUUCUCCUCUGAAUACUCUAUGAAUAACUUAUAUAAAGCGUGUUCCUGAUGAAUAAAGUUGUUUAUCGUGCAACAUACAGUAGGGAUUUGUCUUUGCCUACUAAGUGGAUAAUUAGUAAUCAACUUCAAAAUAGGAAAUCUUGCCUUUAAAACUCCAAUGCAACGUUCAAUAAUGUUACGGUACGAGGAGUGUCUGUAGUUGAACAAUUCUUCCUUCCCACGUAGUCUUCCCCGUCCAACAUAGUCACACAGAUGAUAUCUUUGACCUCGAUAACUGUUGUCAAACUUCCUCUGCAGCAUUAACUUUGUUAGUAUUUGAAUCCCAUGUAACACCUGUAUGUCCCAAAAGUUCAGAGAACAUGCGAUGAAUCUUACGCAAGCGGUUCCACUUUCCCUUCAAUCUAUCUAUGCCGUAAUCCAUUUUUGUUGAAGCUAUCAUGGUUUCAUUGAUCCUGUCCCAUUCAUCUUUCGUGAAUGUAGAACAUUGCAAUGCAUUUGAUUUCACUCUCUCAUAAAGAAUUUCGAUAAUAGCGUGUUCAUUUUCGUCUGAUCAUGACAUUGGUUCCUUAUUCCUUACUCUGUGAUCACCAAUGUUGAAGCUAUAUUGAUAUAAAUCAAAUUAUCAUCAAAUAUAUAAAACCUUCUAUAGGCGAUUUGAGAACAUAUUAAUGUGUUUAAUUAUAGUCACAUACCACCAAUUGCUCAAAAGUCUUCAAGUGAAAUGUCAAAUAGCAAAAGCAUACCAAACUUCCUUGAUUAGGCGGUACUGUUCUAAAAAAGCCAUGCAGAAAUGAUCCAUACCAUACUAGAAACUUACUUGAUUAGGCGGUACUGUUCUCUUUUAUUUUCUAGUUCUUUUAUUUUAUUUUUUUCUUGUUUAGCAGGCAAGUAAAAGCUGCUUCUAUUUUCUUUCUUGUUGAGAGUGGAGGGGCAAGGUUCAACUCCUUGUACAGUAAGGUAUUUAUGAAAAGGAUUUUAAGGCACUCAUUUGAUGUUUUCCAGGUAUAUCACCUCUUAUUCUUCAAAAUAACUUGCUAGAUCAGAAUAUCAAGGGAACUUACACUAGAGCAAACUGGGAGAACAUGAAUAUAAUAAAUGUCAUGAAUCAUACUGUAAUGUAAAUGUGCUUUAUUCUUUUAUACAAAUACGAGAAUAUUACUUCAAGAAUGCAAAUUUUUUAUUUAUGCAAAAGAAGGCACAGAAGUACUCGCAUAGAAGAGAAAAUAAAGACCAGUAGAGAAUGAUUAACCAAAUUUCACUACCCCAAUUACUUGGCCACCUUUGAUGUGCUAUGUCAAAUUCCAACAGCUAUUUUUACUUUUAUUCUUACUCUUCUAACAUGCAUUGUGCAUCUAUGCUGUGGACACACACUGUUUUGAGACAAACAACCAACUUUAACAAAUUCCAUCUUGAAGUCUCUGUCGUCCCAUGUAGAAAGUUACAAAUGAUAAGAAAAAGUAGUCCAACCAUCUCACUCAAAAGUUUCUUAUUUUUUAGUUUCUAGAAUUUCAGCAAUACUAUAAUGCCUGAAAACUAAAAUGGCACCUAAAGCAAACUUAGCCCUGAUUUCACUUUAUCAUGAACCAGAAAAAAA
rnacentral:lncRNA from 1 species